UAUUUUUUCUGUUCGAGGGGACAGAUGGUACCCUAUGGAGUACGGCACAAGGGAACGAUUCAAAACACAUUAACCAAAAGGAUGGCAGCUCCUGGAACACUAAGAUGGGUGUCCAGCUACUGGAAAGGGGCAAGGGGCCCAUGCCCGGGAGCUGGCCUUCCCUACCCAUCUCGGCAGUCUCUAGGUGGGGGGUGGAGCUGGGCCUGAGUGGUCACUCCUGAACUGAUUUCCUGCAUCGCUGCUUCUGUCUGACCAUCUUCUGUCUUCUUGUGCAUCUCUGACCCCUGAGGUCUAAGCUCCCAGGCUCCCUCAUUCAUCCCUUUACUCUGUUAUCCAUGGUGGAUGCGUUCUUGGCAGCCAGUUUUGUGCUCCCUGAUAGGGGCCCAGGGAUGAUGUGCUGCCUGCAAUCUGAUCACUGACUAGGGAGAGCAGGGCCCGGUGGAGGAGGAACCUGCAUCGUGGGAUUCAAAGAGACAUGACGUGGGCUCUAAGGAAGGAGCAGAGAUGGUGAUGAGGGAGAACAGAGGCCCUUUGAGUGGGGGGGGGUAGAGGUUGUCAACACAUCCACACCCACCAAAUUUCCUCUAUGCUCCUCAGCACCACAUAACUGAGUUGCCUGAUUAUCACUGCCAGCUCUGUCCCCAGUUCCAGGACCUGUGGAGAUGACGUUUCAUUCAAACAGCCUCAGCACUUCCUACCACUCCCCGUCCCACACAAACAUUCAAACCUCAAGAGCCCAGGAGUUCCCACUGUGGCUCAGUGUUAAAAAACCCAACUAGCAUCCAUGAGGAUGCAGGUUUGAACCCUGGCCCUGUUCAGUGGGUUAAGGAUCUAGCAUUGCUGUGAGCUGUGGUGUAGGUCGAAGAUGGGGCUCAGCUCUACAACAUGCUAUGGCUGUGGUGUAGGUGGGCAGUUGCAGCUCUGAUUCGAUCCCUAGCCUGGGAACUUCCAUAUGCUGCAGGUGUGCCGUAAACAUCAAAAACAGGAGUUCUCGUCGUGGCUCAGUGGAAAUGAAUCUGACUAGUAUCCAUAGAGAUGCAGGUCAAUCCCUGGCCUUGUUUGGUGGGUUAAGGAUCUGGCAUUGCCGUGAGCUGUGGUGUAGGUCGCAGACACGGCUUGGAUCUGGCGUUGCUCUGGUUGCGGCAUAGGCCAGCAGCUGCAGCUCCGAUGUGACCCCUGGCCUUGGAACCUCUGUAUGCCAUGGGUACAGACCUAAAAAGACAAAAAACAAACAAACAAACAAAACCAAAAAAACCCCAACCUGAAGAGCCCAGCACAAAUUACCAGUCCAGGCCUGAGAGCUACAUGCCACCCCCUGACUCCCUUGAAUCUCCUUUGUUGCAAUUCACACCUGGGACUCUGGGCCCAGGUAGUCAUGAGAGCCCCUAUGCAGCUCAGGGCCCUGGAGUUCCUGGGGGGACCACCAUGAGCAUCUGUAUUGCCCCCAAAUUAUCAUAGAGGCUCCAGAAUGAUUGGCAGAUCUCCUAAGGCUGCUCUAUCCCUCUGUCACUCUGGUUCCUGAUGCCACCACAGGCCCCCUCCUUCACCCUCCAGCCUCCCUCCACCCCUCCCCUCUGCACAAGCAUGUGGAAGCCGCAGCCCCAGCUGCAGAGCUGCACAGCACUGUUGGCAGGAGAUGGGCUGGCUCGAGAGCUGCCUGGAGGAGAAUGUGGCAGAUCAUAUUUCUUCAGCUCGUGCCAAAUAUUAUUCAGACAUAGCUUUUCAGACAGACACAAAUUGCUCAUCCAAUAAACACAGAAGGGCUAAUCCCAAGACAUUUAUCAGAGUGGGGAAAGAUGAGAAAAAGGAUAGACACAAGAGGCCUUUGAGAGCUGGCCUGGUGUGGCUGGCCUGAGGGGAGGUGGGGAGACCUCCAGGGACUCCUGGGGUUUUCUCCUUAGAGGACCUGAAACCUGGCACCAGGGCUUUGGGAUUUGCUUUCGUGGUGACAUACAAAGCCGGCGCUAGUGCCUGCACUUCCCUGCGGUGAAGCGAGUGGAAGAAAUGAACACAGGCCAGGGUGCCUCUGUGGGCAGACAGCCCCCAUCUCCAGUUGUUAGUGUCACAUGGAUUUGCUGUCUGCAGGAGCUACGUGCACUUCCCCACCAUGCACACACCCUGAGCCCUCAAGGCACUCUGCCACUGUUCGCAGAGUUCCCAGGAGAAAAUGUUCCUGGCCAGGAAUCUCUUCCUAGUGGCUGAGGUGUGAGAGCACAGCUGCUGAGAAAGCUGGUGGAGGGACCAGGCUAACCCCGGGGGCAGGGGACCAGAGGCAUUGGGGCCUCUGUCCACACCAGGGGGCUGGCCAAGCCAUUGAGGUCCUUUGCUCAUCCCUUUCUGCUAGGCCCUCCUAAUGGGAUCCGUGAGCAUUUCCCUUCUGGGAUUCUGCUCAGAAAUAAAAGAAAUCAGGCCUUGCUCAGAGGCCCAACUUUGGAGCCCAGGGAGAGGAAGACUAGGUGAAGCCUCUGAAGACAGCCUGGCUCCUCCCAUGGUCUGGGCCAGGGUCUGUGCCACACCACUGGGACUCUGACGUGUGCCCAGUAGAGAGGUGGGUGUGUACCCAUUGGUGGGAGGAGGCACUGACUAGAUUGGGAGGAGGGCAUGGAAAUAAAUGCCAACAUUUGUAUAGUCGGGCCCUAUUCUCACAACAACAUGAGGAGGUAGAUGUACUGUUACUGGUACCACUUUGCUGGUGAGGCACUGAGAGGUUAGGGAGCUUGCCCAAGCCCACCCAACUAGUGAACGGGAGACUUCAGAAUCUGUGCUCUUUGUGUGUGUGUGUGUUUUUAGGGUCGCAUCUGCGGUAUACAAAGUUCCCAGGCUAGGGGUCAAGUCAGAGCUGCAGCUGCUGGCCUACACAACAGCCGCAAUGAUACCAGAUCUGAGCUGUGUCUGUGACCUAGACCACAGCUCAUAGCAACGCCAGAUCCUUAACCCUUUGAGCGAGGCCAGGGAUUGAACCCGCAUCCUCAUGGAUACUAGUUGGAUUCUUAACCUGCUGAGCCAUGAUGAGAACUCCCAGAAUCUGUGCUCUUAACUUGCCAUGCUGCCUACAGGCCUAUGGGGAGAUGUGGAGUUUCAGAAAUACCAGUCAUGUGGGGAUGCUCAGGUGAGUAGGGUGUGGAGGUCCAGAGUCUCCAGACCUGGGAUGUUGCCUUCAAGUCGUGAUGCUUAGGCAGGUUUCCUCUGAGAACCUGGGGGUCCUAUAAUUAGGGUGAUUAACCCUCCCAGUUUUUCCAGAACUGAGAGGGCUUGGAUCUAGCAUUGCUGUGGCUGUGGCGCAGGCUGGCAGCUGUAGCUCCUAUUUGACCCCUAGUCUGGGAACUUGCAUAUGCC
rnacentral:lncRNA from 1 species